rnacentral:rRNA from 1 species
GGUAAGGCCGGGCCGUGAGAGGCGGUAAUACGGAGGGGGUGAUCGUUGAGCUGAAUUACUGGGCGGAAAGAGGACGUAGGCGGCUGUGUAAGUUAGAGGGGAAAGCCCGGGGCUCAACUCCGGAAUUUCCUUUAAGACUGCAUCGCUAGAAUUGUGGAGAGGUAAGUGGAAUUCCGAGUGUAGAGGUGAAAUUCGUAGAUAUUCGGAAGAACACCAGUGGCGAAGGCGACUUACUGGACACAUAUUGACGCUGAGGUGCGAAAGCGUGGGGAGCAAACAGGAUUAGAUACCCUUGUAGUC